CCACAUCGCUUUAUGUGCUUGAUUAGCAGCCUUUAUAAUGUAAGCAUAGCAUAGUUUUAUGUGUAAUAAAUAAGUUACGUGGUUUCUGCUUCAAGAUCAAGGCUCUGAAGCCUUGUCAGUUAAAUGGUGUUAGAGUUACUCUAUUCUUUCAUCUGGGGAAAUAAUAUGUUCUUUGAAAUAUGUGAGCUACUUUAUCUGAAACUAAGAAAGAAAAUGAAGGGUCAGCCUCGUGCAGGUAUCUCACAUGAUGAAUUUUAUUUAAUAAUAAUAUACUUAUUUAAUAAUGCAGGAAGGCAUCAGAAGGUGGUGGUCAGGGUGACUUGUAUGGCAGAAGAUGGAGAAUUUGGAACUCGCUGAAAGUCAUGAAAAACCUUUUAAGAAGGUUCUCUUCAGUUUCUGUCCACCAGCAAAUUUCCAUUCUGCUCUUCAGGACUCAAGCUGGCUUCUUUCAAGACUUCCAGUCUGGGUAAAAGAAGCCUGAGUUCCUGUUCCAGUUGGUGACUGAAGAGUUGAGCUCCUGGCAGAGAUGGACCCUGGGAGUUUCCUCUCUGCCUCUGGGACACAGAUAUCCCUACGAUGACACUGGGCUCCCAGCAGCCGCCUCAAUGGACGGCCAGAAGGGGCUGUUGAAAUCCCAGCAGGUCGGGUGUCAUCUGAGCUCUUUAAUUAGGACAAGUUUCUUUAGGCUGCUUUCAGUGAGAGGCACGCGGCCAAAUUAGCUCCUAGAAAAACCAAAGUUCCGGUAUGGAUCACAGCAGAUCACUGCUGCAACCGACGCUCUGCACCUGUUUCAUCCUGAAUAGCUCCACUGCUGCCUUUGGAGCCGCUUCCAGCUCUAAUUUAGGAAACAGAGCAGGCUGGGCGUUAGGGCAGCUCUAUCAGUCUGUGUUUGACCUGAUGCAUGAGAAACACCUCCUCAGCUCCGAGCAAUUCUUGCAAUAUAUCCAAAAACUGUCUGGCAGCGUUCAGAUCCCUCCCAGGGACACAGAAUCACAGAAUGACCCGGGUUGGAAGGGACCUCAAGGAUCAUGUAGUUCCAAUCCCCCUGCCUGGCAGGGCCACCAA